CAGAAUUCCCAUUUAGUUAGGAUAUUGAUUAUUAUUUAUCUUGUGUAGUGGCAUAGUGCUUGAGGAAUAAACCUUUAGUUUCCAAUUGCAGUCAAUCACUUUAUUUAAUAAUAAAUUGCAGUUUUGUUAGGUUUUCAUUUUUAGGAUUCUCAUAUGUAUUUAAGUUGUGGCUUACCUUAUAAUGAUUCAAUCUACAUAUGCAUGGUGGUUUUUGUCUCUUCUGGCAGGGUAGGGGAUAGGCAAUGCUAGGAAUUAAUGCUCAGAAUUAGGAAUUGAAGGGAUUUUAUUCCUUGUACAAAAAUAUAUGAACUGGCUCUUCAAUUUUAUGUUGCUGGGGAUUGCUAGGAAGUAAAAAAUGUAUGAUAGGAGAUUUGGAGUUCGCUAGAAAAGCUCUGCCCGCAUGAUCAAAGAACACGAAUUCUGGAAUUCAGGUACUCAUAUGGUAGUUAUUCAGGAUUUGUAAUCACACUUUAAGUAGAUAUUAUGCAAUGUGGAACCAACCCAGGCCUGAUUCUUCAACCACUGACAAGGAACUUGCUUCUAUGAUCGAGAGUGUUUCCGAGAAACAACAUUUUACCGCAAAAUGACUUCAACUGCCGAGACUGGAUGGGAUUUUAGUACAAGAUGGAUGAGGAGCCAUAUAUGUAGGAGUGGACUGAGCAAUUGGAAAGUAGUGACCGAUUUAUGUAGGAGCCAUAUAUGUAGCAGCUGCAUAUGUGCAUAUUUUUGGAACAAGUAUAUAUUGUAUCUGCUUUUGUUGUUUAUC